rnacentral:lncRNA from 1 species
AAUAGAGAAACAAACAAGGCCUUCGACGAAAAUUUCCGGAGGGCAAGGUCCGUUUUCUAAAAUUUUUGACGUGGGUAUUAGAUUACAGGAAGAAGGAAGGUAACUGGGGACGUGGGUAUUGGAUUUCAGGAAGAAGGAAGGUAAAUAGGAUGUGGGUAGUUGUGAGAUGAGAGGUAGUGGAGGAGAGGAGUUGUUAUAUAGAUAAGAGGGAAGGGGUAGUUGUGGCUGAGAUUGCCGUGAGAUGUGUAGUAGGGGUAGUAAUGCAAUAUUGAAACUUGAAAGUGACUUUUGUC